UUUUGUGAUUAUGGUAUCAGAGGAAGAAUCAAUAGAGUUAAGAGCAAAAGAAUAAGCACAAAAUAUGGGAAAAUCUUAAACUUACAGUGGUUAUGGAAAGAUGACCGGUGAGAAGAGGAAGGUCAAUGAUGCCCCUAAAUGUGAUAAUCUUCUUUCGAAGUUCGACCCCGACGAAGCAACACGUCUUGAAGUUUCUUGGCUAACGAGUGGAGAUCUAGAGGCCUUGAUGGAUGAUGAUGGAGAAAGCAAAGAAGGUUUAACAUCUUGUUUGGCCUUAUUACUUGCUGUAGCAAUGUUUUUUGGUUCACUAAGGAAGAUUUAGACGCCUUGUUCGAGGAUGAUGGAGAAACCGGAGAACGUUUUACAUCUUGUUUGGUCAUAUUACUCCUAAGUGAUGCUUGCCAGUUUGCAGGCUGUAACAAA